UGGUGGCUUGAUGAUCGCCUAUAUUCUCGCUGUCGCUUGCAUUACCAGCAUUGCGGUGGGUGGGCUUGUGGCAAUCGCCAAUU
rfam:Brucella melitensis biovar Abortus 2308 chromosome II, complete sequence, strain 2308